AAGACUGUACUUCCAAGGAUCAUUUCUGUAGUGAAUUAUUAGAGAACAUUCUCUGAAAGGGUAGAGCAUCGAAGAAGGACAAAAACAAUACGAUCAUGUCAAUCGAUGC
ensembl:snoRNA U3 Small nucleolar RNA U3